rnacentral:rRNA from 1 species
UACGUAGGGCGCAAGCGUUGUCCGGAAUUAUUGGGCGUAAAGAGCUCGUAGGCGGUUUGUCGCGUCUGGUGUGAAAGCCCGGGGCUUAACCCCGGGUCUGCAUUCGAUACGGGCUAGCUAGAGUGUGGUAGGGGAGAUCGGAAUUCCUGGUGUAGCGGUGAAAUGCGCAGAUAUCAGGAGGAACACCGGUGGCGAAGGCGGAUCUCUGGGCCAUUACUGACGCUGAGGAGCGAAAGCGUGGGGAGCGAACAGG